AUAAGCGGAGGAAAGAACUAACAAGGAUUCCCUUAGUAACUGCGAGUGAAGCGGGAAAAGCUCAAAUUUGAAAUCUGGCAGUCUUUUUUUCUCUUCUUUGGCUGUCUGAGUUGUAAUCUAGAGAAGUGCUUACCUGUGCUGGACCAUGUAUAAGUCUCCUGGAAUGGAGCGUCACAGAGGGUGAGAAUCCCGUCUUUGACAUGGACUGCCAGUAUGUUGUGGKGUGCUCUCAAAGAGUCGAGUUGUUUGGGAAUGCAGCUCUAAAUGGGUGGUAAACUCCAUCUAAAGCUAAAUAUUGGCGAGAGACCGAUAGCGAACAAGUACCGUGAGGGAAAGAUGAAAAGGACUUUGGAAAGAGAGUUAAACAGUAUGUGAAAUUGUUGAAAGGGAAACGCUUGAAGUCAGUUAUGUUGGCUGGGGAUCAGCCUGGCUUUUUGCUGGGUGAACUUCCUAGUCUGACAGGCCAACAUCAGUUCUGACUGCUGGAAAAGAGCA
rnacentral:rRNA from 1 species